rnacentral:sRNA from 1 species
AGCCUGGAAUGAAGUCACUAGGGCUGUUUGGAGACCGGGGCUGUUUGGAGGACAAGGGCACACAACUGGUUCCAUUAAGGCCCUCUCUCGCUCAGACGCCAUGGAGCUGGAUCUGUCUCCACCUCAUCUUGGCAGCUCUCCGGAAGACCUUUGCCCAGCCCCCGGGACCCCUCCUGGGACUCCCCGGCCCCCUGAUACCCCUCUGCCUGAGGAGGUAAAGAGGUCCCAGCCUCUCCUCAUCCCAACCACCGGCAGGAAACUUCGAGAGGAGGAGCGGCGUGCCACCUCCCUCCCCUCUAUCCCCAACCCCUUCCCUGAGCUCUGCAGUCCUCCCUCACAGAGCCCCAUUCUCGGGGGCCCCUCCAGUGCAAGGGGGCUGCUCCCCCGCGAUGCCAGCCGCCCCCAUGUGAGUUGUCCCUCAGAAGGGAAGGGAGGGAUGCAGGGGUUCUGGUUCUGUGGGAGAUACACAGCCGCUUCCAUGGAGGCGGGGGAUCUUGGUUAGGAGUCCCUGAGGGUCUAGCAGGUGCGGAAAGGGAUGGAAUCACCCUUUGCCUCCCCUCAAGUCGUGUGCAAUUCCUGGGGCA